GAUGAACGCUAGCGGCAGGCCUAACACAUGCAAGUCGAGGGGUAACAUAGAGUGCUUGCACUUUGAUGACGACCGGCGCACGGGUGCGUAACGCGUAUACAAUCUACCUUUUGCUGAGGAAUAGCCCAGAGAAAUUUGGAUUAAUGCCUCAUAGUAUGUAGACUUCUCAUGAAGAUUACAUUAAAGGUUACGGCAAAAGAUGAGUAUGCGUCCUAUUAGCUAGAUGGUAAGGUAACGGCUUACCAUGGCAACGAUAGGUAGGGGCCCUGAGAGGGGGAUCCCCCACACUGGUACUGAGACACGGACCAGACUCCUACGGGAGGCAGCAGUGAGGAAUAUUGGACAAUGGAGGCAACUCUGAUCCAGCCAUGCCGCGUGCAGGAAGACUGCCCUAUGGGUUGUAAACUGCUUUUAUACGGGAAGAAACAUCACUACGUGUAGUGACUUGACGGUACCGUAAGAAUAAGGAUCGGCUAACUCCG
rnacentral:rRNA from 1 species